AUUGAACGCUGGCGGCAUGCCUUACACAUGCAAGUCGAACGGUAACAGGUCUUCGGAUGCUGACGAGUGGCGAACGGGUGAGUAAUACAUCGGAACGUGCCCAGUCGUGGGGGAUAACGCAGCGAAAGCUGUGCUAAUACCGCAUACGAUCUACGGACGAAAGCGGGGGAUCGCAAGACCUCGCGCGAUUGGGGCGGCCGAUGGCAGAUUAGGUAGUUGGUGAGGUAAAGGCUCACCAAGCCUGCGAUCUGUAGCUGGUCUGAGAGGACGACCAGCCACACUGGAACUGAGACACGGUCCAGACUCCUACGGGAGGCAGCAGUGGGGAAUUUUGGACAAUGGGCGCAAGCCUGAUCCAGCAAUGCCGCGUGCAGGAUGAAGGCCUUCGGGUUGUAAACUGCUUUUGUACGGAACGAAAAAGCUUCUUCUAAUACAGGAGGCUCAUGACGGUACCGUAAGAAUAAGCACCGGCUAACUACGUGCCAGCAGCCGCCGCUG
rnacentral:rRNA from 1 species